AAAUAGCCCCGAUGGGAGCGAUUGUUUGAGCUCGUUGUAAAGCUUGGAUUUGCUUUGGCUACAACAGCGAGUGCGGACAGCGGGAUCAAUA
rnacentral:misc_RNA from 1 species